rnacentral:lncRNA from 1 species
UGGGGAGUGAGUGGUGGUGUAAAGCUGUUCGUCUCAAGGUGGCAAAGAGUGAGAGAGUAGGAGCCUGGGUCCUACUAUCCCUUUCAUGGCCAUAUCUCUGGUGACCUAACUUCCUUCCAGUUGAGUCCUCACCAGCUCCCAAUAGUGUCAUCAGCUAGGGACCAAGCCUUUAACACAUGAGCCUUUGGGUGACAUGUUAGAUCCAAACCAUAACACAUGGCAUUUAGAACUUGAAGUUAUAAGCUCAAGUUAAUGAAAAUAUUGCUCAGAUAAGCUAUUUGAGCAAGUACACUUGAAACAAUAAAAAUAGUUUCUGUUAGUAUUAUUUACAUAAAAGAAUGAACUUUUCCUUUAGUCAUUAUUAAAAAUAACUGUAUCUGCAUCUUACCUAUUCCUGGUAUCUAUACUUCAUUGUGAAAAAAUACCUAUUUACCUACAUAUUCUCAAAUAUUUUGCUCACUGGCUACUAUUUUACUAUAUUUAUGGUUUGUACUAAUUUGUUCUAUGUUGAAUCAAAAUUUAGGAGAAAGAUUUCUUAUAGGAACAAGAUAUUUUCUGCAUUAAAAUACAACUCCAUCAGUUUUGAUCCCAAGAUGACUUUUUCAGACUGCCAACAAAGUAAUUCUUAACUAAAUGAAAAAUGUAAUUUUCUGUAACUUGAUUCCCC